UACGUAGGGUGCAAGCGUUGUCCGGAAUUAUUGGGCGUAAAGAGCGUGUAGGCGGUUUGGUAGGUCCGCUGUGAAAACUCGAGGCUCAACCUCGAGACGCCGGUGGAAACCAUCAGGCUAGAGUCCGGAAGAGGAGAGUGGAAUUCCUGGUGUAGCGGUGAAAUGCGCAGAUAUCAGGAAGAACACCCGUGGCUAAGGCGGCCCCUCUAGUACGGUACUGACGCUGAGACGCGAAAAGCGUGGGGAGCGAACAGG
rnacentral:rRNA from 1 species